GAUGAACGCUGGCGGCGUGCCUAAUACAUGCAAAUCGAGCGAACAGAUAAGGAGCUUGCUCCUUUGACGUUAGCGGCGGACGGGUGAGUAACACGUGGGUAACCUACCUAUAAGACUGGGAUAACUUCGGGAAACCGGAGCUAAUACCGGAUAAUAUUUCGAACCGCAUGGUUCGAUAGUGAAAGAUGGUUUUGCUAUCACUUAUAGAUGGACCCGCGCCGUAUUAGCUAGCUGGUAAGGUAACGGCUUACCAAGGCGACGAUACGUAGCCGACCUGAGAGGGUGAUCGGCCACACUGGAACUGAGACACGGUCCAGACUCCUACGGGAGGCAGCAGUAGGGAAUCUUCCGCAAUGGGCGAAAGCCUGACGGAGCAACGCCGCGUGAGUGAUGAAGGUCUUCGGAUCGUAAAACUCUGUUAUUAGGGAAGAACAUACGUGUAAGUAACUGUGCACGUCUUGACGGUACCUAAUCAGAAAGCCACGGCUAACUACGUG
rnacentral:rRNA from 1 species